rnacentral:rRNA from 1 species
GAUGAACGCUGGCGGCGUGCUUAACACAUGCAAGUCGAACGAUUAAAGCCCCUUCGGGGGUGUAUAGAGUGGCGAACGGGUGAGUAACACGUGGGUAACCUGCCCUGUGCUUCGGGAUAACCCAGGGAAACUUGGGCUAAUACCGGAUACUCCGGUCUGAUCGCAUGGUCGGACCGGGAAAGUUCCGGCGGCACAGGAUGGACCCGCGGCCCAUUAGCUUGUUGGUAGGGUAACGGCCUACCAAGGCGAUGAUCGGUAGCUGGUCUGAGAGGAUGAUCAGCCACACUGGGACUGAGACACGGCCCAGACUCCUACGGGAGGCAGCAGUGGGGAAUAUUGGACAAUGGGCGCAAGCCUGAUCCAGCAAUGCCGCGUGAGUGAAGAAGGUUUUCGGAUUGUAAAGCUCUUUUGGCGGGGACGAUGAUGACGGUACCCGCAGAAUAAGCCCCGGCUAACUUCGUGCCAGCCGCCGCCGUAA